rnacentral:rRNA from 1 species
AGAGUUUGAUCCUGGCUCAGGACGAACGCUGGCGGCGUGCCUAACACAUGCAAGUCGAGCGGAGACAGUGAGUAGCUUGCUAUGAGCUGUUUUAGCGGCGGACGGGUGAGUAACGCGUGAGCAACCUUUCCCAGACAGGGGAAUAACACACCGAAAGGUGUACUAAUACCGCAUAAGACCACGGGAUCACAUGGUUCUGGGGUAAAAGAUUUAUCGGUUUGGGGUGGGCUCGCGUCCGAUUAGGUAGUUGGUGAGGUAACGGCCCACCAAGCCGACGAUCGGUAGCCGACCUGAGAGGGUGAUCGGCCACAUUGGGACUGAGACACGGCCCAAACUCCUACGGGAGGCAGCAGUGGGAAUAUUGGGCAAUGGAGGAAACUCUGACCCAGCAACGCCGCGUGGAGGAAGAAGGUUUUCGGAUCGUAAACUCCUGUCCUUGGAGACGAGUAGAAGACGGUAUCCAAGGAGGAAGCCCCGGCUAACUACGUGCCAGCAGCCGCGGUAAUACGUAGGGGGCAAGCGUUGUCCGGAAUAAUUGGGCGUAAAGGGCGCGUAGGCGGCUCGGUAAGUCUGGAGUGAAAGUCCUGCUUUUAAGGUGGGAAUUGCUUUGGAUACUGUCGGGCUUGAGUGCAGGAGAGGUUAGUGGAAUUCCCAGUGUAGCGGUGAAAUGCGUAGAGAUUGGGAGGAACACCAGUGGCGAAGGCGACUAACUGGACUGUAACUGACGCUGAGGCGCGAAAGUGUGGGGAGCAAACAGGAUUAGAUACCCUGGUAGUCCACACUGUAAACGAUGAAUGCUAGGUGUAGGGGGUAUCGACCCCUUCUGUGCCGCAGUCAACACAAUAAGCAUUCCGCCUGGGGAGUACGGCCGCAAGGUUGAAACUCAAAGGAAUUGACGGGGGCCCGCACAAGCAGCGGAGCAUGUGGUUUAAUUCGACGCAACGCGAAGAACCUUACCAGGUCUUGACAUCCACUUAAACUUACAGAGAUGUAAGGUGUGCUUGCACAAAGUGAGACAGGUGGUGCAUGGUUGUCGUCAGCUCGUGUCGUGAGAUGUUGGGUUAAGUCCCGCAACGAGCGCAACCCUUAUCUUCAGUUACUAACGCGUAAAGGUGAGGACUCUGAAGAGACUGCCGGGGACAACUCGGAGGAAGGUGGGGACGACGUCAAAUCAUCAUGCCCCUUAUGACCUGGGCUACACACGUGCU